rnacentral:rRNA from 1 species
AACGAACGCUGGCGGCAUGCCUAACACAUGCAAGUCGAACGAGACCUUCGGGUCUAGUGGCGCACGGGUGCGUAACGCGUGGGAACCUGCCCUUAGGUUCGGAAUAACUCCCCGAAAUGGGUGCUAAUACCGGAUAAUGUCUUCGGACCAAAGAUUUAUCGCCUUUGGAUGGGCCCGCGUUGGAUUAGCUAGUUGGUAGGGUAAAAGCCUACCAAGGCGACGAUCCAUAGCUGGUCUGAGAGGAUGAUCAGCCACACUGGGACUGAGACACGGCCCAGACUCCUACGGGAGGCAGCAGUGGGGAAUAUUGGACAAUGGGCGAAAGCCUGAUCCAGCAAUGCCGCGUGAGUGAUGAAGGCCUGAGGGUUGUAAAGCUCUUUUACCCGGGAUGAUAAUGACAGUACCGGGAGAAUAAGCUCCGGCUAACUCCGUG